rnacentral:rRNA from 1 species
UACGUAGGGUGCAAGCGUUAAUCGGAAUUACUGGGCGUAAAGCGUGCACAGGCGGUUUUGUAAGUCUGACGUGAAAUCCCCGGGCUCAACCUGGGAAUUGCGUUGGAGACUGCAAGGCUGGAGUCUGGCAGAGGGGGGUAGAAUUCCACGUGUAGCAGUGAAAUGCGUAGAGAUGUGGAGGAACACCGAUGGCGAAGGCAGCCCCCUGGGUCAAGACUGACGCUCAUGCACGAAAGCGUGGGGAGCAAACAGG